rnacentral:rRNA from 1 species
UACGUAGGGUGCAAGCGUUGUCCGGAAUUAUUGGGCGUAAAGAGCUCGUAGGCGGUCUGUCGCGUCGAAUGUGAAAACCCGGGGCUCAACCCCGGGCCUGCAUUCGAUACGGGCAGACUAGAGGUAGGUAGGGGAGAAUGGAAUUCCCGGUGUAGCGGUGAAAUGCGCAGAUAUCGGGAGGAACACCGGUGGCGAAGGCGGUUCUCUGGGCCUUACCUGACGCUGAGGAGCGAAAGCGUGGGGAGCGAACAGG